rnacentral:rRNA from 1 species
GGACGAACGCUGGCGGCGUGCCUAAUACAUGCAAGUCGAACGGUCUUUCUAUGGAAGCUUGCUUCCACUGAGAAGAUAGUGGCGAACGGGUGAGGUAACAACGUGGGUAACCUGCCCAUAAGAGGGGGAUAACAUCCGGAAACGGGUGCUAAUACCGCAUAGUUUUCUUGAUCGCAUGAUCGGGAAAGGAAAGACGGCCUUUGUGCUGUCGCUUAUGGAUGGACCCGCGGCGUAUUAGUUAGUUGGUGAGGUAACGGCUCACCAAGACGAUGAUACGUAGCCGACCUGAGAGGGUGAUCGGCCACAUUGGGACUGAGACACGGCCCAAACUCCUACGGGAGGCAGCAGUAGGGAAUCUUCCGCAAUGGACGAAAGUCUGACGGAGCAACGCCGCGUGAGUGAAGAAAAGGUUUUCGGAUCGUAAAACUCUGUUGUCAGAGAAGAACAAGUUGGAGAGUAACUGCUCCAGCCUUGACGGUAUCUGACCAGAAAGCCACGGCUAACUACGUGCCAGCCGCAGC